GAUGAACGCUAGCGAUAGGCUUAACACAUGCAAGUCGAGGGGCAGCAUGGUCUUAGCUUGCUAAGACUGAUGGCGACCGGCGCACGGGUGCGUAACGCGUAUGCAACUUGCCUCACAGAGGGGGAUAACCCGUCGAAAGACGGACUAAUACCGCGUACACUUGGGAUAGGGCAUCCUGACCCAAGGAAAUGAAAUUCGCUGUGAGAUAGGCAUGCGUCCCAUUAGCUAGUUGGUGAGGUAACGGCUCACCAAGGCGACGAUGGGUAGGGGAACUGAGAGGGUGAACCCCCACACUGGUACUGGGACACGGACCAGACUCCUACGGGAGGCAGCAGUGAGGAAUAUUGAUCAAUGGGCGAGAGCCUGAACCAGCCAAGUCGCGUGAAGGAUGACUGUCUUAUGGAUUGUAAACUUCUUUUAUACGGGAAUAACAAGAGCCACGUGUGGCUCCCUGCAUGUACCGUAUGAAUAAGCAUCGGCUAACUCCGUG
rnacentral:rRNA from 1 species